rnacentral:rRNA from 1 species
GACGAACGCUGGCGGCGUGCUUAACACAUGCAAGUCGAGCGGUAAGGCCCUUUCGGGGGUACACGAGCGGCGAACGGGUGAGUAACACGUGGGUGACCUGCCCUCAGCUCUGGGAUAAGCCUGGGAAACCGGGUCUAAUACCGGAUAUGACUCCAUGACGCAUGUUGUGGGGUGGAAAGCCUUGUGCGGCUGAGGAUGGGCCCGCGGCCUAUCAGCUUGUUGGUGGGGUGANGGCCUACCAAGGCGACGACGGGUAGCCGGCCUGAGAGGGCGACCGGCCACACUGGGACUGAGACACGGCCCAGACUCCUACGGGAGGCAGCAGUGGGGAAUCUUGCGCAAUGGGCGAAAGCCUGACGCAG